GCCAGGCGUUGUGGCGGGCGCCUGUAAUCCCAGCUACUUGGGAGGCUGAGGCAGGAGACUCGCUUGAGCCCAGGAGUUGGAGGUUGCUGUGAGCUGUGAUGCCAUGGCAGUCUGCCCAGGGCAACAGCUUGAGACUCUGUCUCCA
rnacentral:SRP_RNA from 1 species